rnacentral:tRNA from 1 species
CAAGAGAGGAAGGAAUUGAACCCCCUUAUAAUAAUUUCAAGUUAAUUACAUAACUAAUCUGUCACCCUCUU